AUUGAACGCUGGCGGCGUGCUUUACACAUGCAAGUCGAACGGCAGCACGGGUGCUUGCACCUGGUGGCGAGUGGCGGACGGGUGAGUAAUACAUCGGAACGUGUCCAGAAGAGGGGGAUAACGCAUCGAAAGAUGUGCUAAUACCGCAUAUGCUCUGAGGAGGAAAGUAGGGGAUCGAAAGACCUUACGCUUUUUGGAGCGGCCGAUGUCUGAUUAGCUAGUUGGUGGGGUAAGGGCCUACCAAGGCGACGAUCAGUAGUUGGUCUGAGAGGACGACCAGCCACACUGGGACUGAGACACGGCCCAGACUCCUACGGGAGGCAGCAGUGGGGAAUUUUGGACAAUGGGCGCAAGCCUGAUCCAGCAAUGCCGCGUGAGUGAAGAAGGCCUGGUGUAAGACUCUUCUAGUCGAGAAGAAAAGGACGUAGCAGUGAAUAACUAGUAGUUUAGUUAGUACGGUAGUACGAC
rnacentral:rRNA from 1 species